rfam:Coniophora puteana RWD-64-598 SS2 unplaced genomic scaffold CONPTscaffold_3, whole genome shotgun sequence.
GGCGGGUUGGCGUAAUGGUAACGCGCUAGUUUCCGGCGCUAGAGAUUCUGGGUUCGAGUCCCAGGCCUGUCG